rnacentral:rRNA from 1 species
UGCGCAGGCGGUUUUGUAAGUCAGAUGUGAAAUCCCCGGGCUUAACCUGGGAACUGCGUUUGAAACUACAAGACUAGAGUGCAGCAGAGGGGGGUGGAAUUCCAUGUGUAGCAGUGAAAUGCGUAGAGAUAUGGAAGAACACCGAUGGCGAAGGCAGCCCCCUGGGUUAACACUGACGCUCAGGCACGAAAGCGUGGGGAGCAAACA